GCAGUCGUGGCCGAGUGGUUAAGGCGAUGGCCUAGAAAUCCAUUGGGGUCUCCCCGCACAGGUUCGAAUCCUGUCGACUGCG
rnacentral:tRNA from 1 species